UAAUAUAAAAGAUAUUGCACUGCAGACUGCUGUGUAUUUAUGAAUUAAUAUUUAAGAUAAACAAAGAAUAACUUGCUGUGACACAGGUUGUGCUCAUGUGAUCAAUAGUGAACAAGAGAUAUCACAGAAGACCUUCAUGUAAUUUCAUGGGCUGACUGACAAACGGCUCAGAGUCCAGAACAAUGAGCAAGUUAUUUCCAAUGUUCAAGAAGAAGGGGAGGGGGAAGGAAGAGGAGAUAGAGGAUGAGACAAAGAAGAAGAAGAGAGGUAAGACAGGAAAGGGAAAAGAGGAGAUUAUCAGUUCCUCUCUUCCAUCCCUGUCCCCCUCUUUCUCUAAAGCAGGUAAGAAGAAGAAAAAGGAGAAAGAUGCAAAGCAGAAAGAGUUGUCGUUUGGGAAGGAGAAUCUUUUUGUGACAGACAUGGAGGAACUGCAGAACAGAGAGUUCUAUAUUGACGAUGAUGGUUCAGUGAAAACGGGGCCCAGAUUGGAAGUGACAAGUUUUGACGUGUCUUUUGAAGAGGAAGUCAUUAGCAUCCCAAGAGGAAAGGGCAGUGUCACGGAAGGGGACCUGGAAAUUGAUGUCCAAAUUGAUGAGGAGAGUGUGGUCAGCUUAAACAGGGAUGAUAGUGCAUCCGAAGAGAGUGGAAGUAGAUUGGGUUACGAGGAUGGUGACAUUUCCGGAAAAAGUUUUAAUGUUGUUGGGGGGUUCUCUGAAGAUGUUUUUGAGGCAAGCACAGACUUGUUUAAAGAUUCUAAUGUACCUGAUGAAGAAGGAGAUGGUGAGGAAAUCUUGGCAAAUAUCAGUGGAUCAUCUGAAAACACAGACCUUAUGAUUACUAGUCAUUGUGAGGAACGAAGUCCUGAUGCGAGACACGAAGAAAAAGAAGAUUCGGGCAUUAGCGUAAAGGAUCUCUCCCCUCCAGAGCUGGACAGAAGUGGUUCAUUGGAGGAGUUAUCUUCUGAGAGAUAUGCUAAUAUGAAUGGAAAUUCAGAAGCAGCAGCAACUUGUAACAUUGAAAAUGGAGAAUUGCCUGAUAUGGAGGACACAAAGGGUACUGAUGAGGAUACCAUUAGUGUUAGUGCUUGUUCUGCUGUGAAGGAAGAUAAGUCAGUGGUUGUGAUCUCAAGUAAUGAAGAAACUCAGGAAGUAAGUCCAUCUCAAGUUUUGCCUCAAAGGGAAAAUGACCCAGCUGGAAAUGAUAACAGUGGGGAUACAGUAACACCAGAGGCAGAGGAUGAACACACCAAGGAUGACCAAAGCCUGUUAAGCAGCCAGGAUAGUGAUGAAGACUUUGAUUCAGCUCAGGAAGAUUGGGAUGAAGCAGACGGUGGGGAACAGAAGGAGAUAAGUCCUGAAGGGUAUAAGUCAGGUUUGUUGGAAGGCAGUUUAGUCAGAGAUCAUGAAAUUGAAUUAGCUGAGCAGGGUAAAUCACCAUCAGUUGAUCUGCUCUUGAAUGAAUCGGUUAAUAGUGCCAUGAUACAUAGGAUUGAGGAGAGUGAAAAUGUUAGGGAUAUACAAAGGGAAAUCAGCAGUGGUUCUUCCCAAUUUGAAGAUGCUGCUUUUAUGCAGGAGAAUCCAGAUGCUGUUGGCAUUAACACAGUGGUUGAAGCCUAUAAUGAUGUUACAGUUGAUGCUAAGGGAGUUGAAAGAAGGAAUUCCCUAUCAAAGGAAAAGCUUGUUCGAAAAUUGUCAGGUGUAUCAACAACCUCUAGUGAUGCCUUCAAUGAGGAGUUAGAUGAGCUUUUGGAUGAAGAACUAGACAGAUUGUCAGAGGAGGAGGAAGGAUUAGAGUCAGAGGACAGCCAGUCCCUGAAGACAUGCCAGUCCUCAUUAGGAGAGGUCCUUGCAAGCAGCCAAGAUGCCAGUCUUUCUGAGGAUAUUUGUAAGGCUAGUGAGGAAGAUCUUAAAGUUGAGGUUGAGUUGUCAGGAGAUUCUCCAGUUGUUCCUGACACACCUGAGAAUAGGAUAGAAGAUAGUGAAAUCAAAACAGAAGUAACUGACAUUGAUGUCAAUGAUGGUAAAGCAGAAAUCUAUGACUUAUCACCUGAAAGCAGUACUAGCUUGAAGAACAGUGCCAGUUCACCAGACAUAGCCAAGACCUCACUUCUAAACCCUGAUGAAGGAACUGAGUUAGUGAAGGACAGUGGUUAUUAUAGCCUCCCUGUAUCACCUAAGCCUGGUAUAGACCUGCGUGAGAAUAAGGAUAAUGCCAGUGUGGCCAACAAGGGUGAUGAUUCUUUUGUUGAUAGUGAGGAAGAGGGCAUGGUCACCCCUCCCAGUGAAACCACAUUGGUGAAAGAUGAUUCUUCACAACAAAAGGAAGGUGACGAUUGUGUGGAUGAUAAACAGCCUCAGAAUGGGUCAGCUCAUGAUGAAUCAACUCUUCUCUAUCAGUCUUGUCUUGAAAGCAAUGAACCUGAAGAUACUGAAAAGAUAGAUAAGAUAACAGAUAGCAACAAUGACAUGCAUAGUGAAACUGAAAUUUCAGAACAUUCCAACUCAAGUACAAGUAGAGGUAAAAAUCUUGAGCUUCACAUUCCAAAGGAUGUAACCACAGAAUUUAAAGAGGAAACCAGUUCUCCAAGUUUGGGAACACCAACCAAAAAUAGACUGAAAUCUCCAAUUCCUGAAAAUACACCACUGAAGGCAGACAGUGGUUCUCUGACAAGUCCUGAUCCUGUUGGAGACAGGUUCUUGGCAGUAGCUGUUUGCCAAUCACAUGAUGAAGCUGAGGCCCGGCUAGCCCAACGACGAGCAGCACGUGCAGAAGCGAGAGAACUGAGACUACGAGAACUCGAAAAGCAGCAGCAGGACCAAGAAAAUGAAGAGGAAAAGCAAUUUGGGACUCCUGCUUUUGCAGAGGCCGAGGAAGAUGAAGAGGAGGAUGAGGAUGAUGAGGAGGAAUCCCAAGAGCCUUCACCCAGAGCGGCUGCCCCCACCCGGACGCCACUCAGUCGCACGGGGGCACUCAGCAGCGCGGGGCAGUUCUCCAGAAGGUCAUCAGAGGACUCCACCACUGAUGACUCCGCUCUUCCAGCCAACGUGAGGGAGAUGAGGGCCGAAUUGAAAGAAUUAGACGAAAAAUUCCGCAAGGCUAUGAUAACUAAUGCACAGUUAGAUAAUGAAAAAGCGACUCUAACAUUUGAAGUAGAACUUAUGAAGGAUAAGUAUACUGAGCUUGAAGAAACACAUACACAGUUAUCGAAAGAGCAUAGGAAGAAGUGUACUGAAUAUGAACAACUUAAGAAAGUAGCAACAAAGUUACAAGAAGAAGUUAAAGCUCUUCGGGCUUUGUUACAAGAAAGAGAUGCGUUAAUACAGGAAUACGGCUUGGUGGUGGUUGGUGAGGAAGAGAAUGGAGAAGCGGAUAUUCCCGUCAAGGAUGAAGACGAUGAGUUUGCUGAUAUGGAUGACCUCACACCUAGGAAAAUUGCUGUGAAGAAGGCGCUGCUUUCUCAGGAAGCAGCCGACUUGCUCAGCAAAGGGGCUGCUCAGGAUUCAUUAGAUGUUAGGCUAAAGAAGUUUGGCGAAGAGAAGAAGGAACUAGAAGACCAAGUUAGAAGAUUGAAGCUCGAACUUGAGGAGGAAAAGAAUAAGAACAGAAGAAGAAAAGAAAAUGGUUUAGACUAUGACAGGCAAAGUGGCAAGGCUGGAUGCUCUCUCGGCUCGAUAUAGGACCCAAUCGGAAGAACUAGAGAAGAGUGAAGAGGAACUAAAAUCGGAAAAGCGGAAAUUACAACGGGAACUAAGGGAUGCCCAGAAUAGGUUAGAAGAACUGGAAACCACCAAUAGCCAUCUAAUAAAACGGUUUGACAAGUUAAAAAAUGCCAGAUCCACCCUGCUCAAGGACCUGUCCCAAGACCCUGCCUGAGGAGCUGGGCAGACCUGCAGCCUCUCCUCCCAAGGACCUCCGACCUCUCCUCCCGCCAAUCUUCAACUUGUAGGCCACGAUGACACCCAAAACCUGUUGGGGAAGCUUGACGAAGUUCCUGGGUGAAUAGUGCUUAUGGGCUAUUCAGUGUGAUACAAUGUUACUAGGAAUGUAGGUGUUGACUGCAUAUUAAGAGAAGAAAAAAAAUAAGAAAACAGUUCUCUCUCACUCUCUCUCUUUGUUUUUUGUUUUUUUCAUUAUCAUUAUUAUUAUUAGUGUGAUGGAAAUAUGGUACUACCUAGUAAUGAGGUUAUUUAGGAAUUAUAAUAAUAAAAGUUAUUUGAGUUGUGUACAUGGACGUAUUGUGUAAUACAGCAAUAUGUGAAUGGUUUUAUGAUAUAAUCUGCCUUCAGAUUGCUUGUUUGCAGAAAGUUGCCAGUUGUUACAAGUUGAAGGCUUGCUUACUGAGUAUCCCACAGUAACUACUUAAUAAUCAGUGCCCCCCCCCCCCUUCUCUCUUUCUCACAGCCCCUCCCCUCCCCCUUCACCUUAUCAAAAUCUCUGUGAUUAUGUUAAUAUAUGAUGGGUGGAUACUUUAGACCAUGUUAAAGAAUAUAUGAAACAAUGAUAAUAACUGAAAAAUAAAAGGAUGCCUUUGUGCCUCAAGAACCUUUAUAGCUUUUGAAGUUAUUAUGCCUCAGGUGAUGAGUCUGCCUUCUUGGGUGGGUUAACAGUUGAUGAUGCUUUAACCAGGGCUGUUUUUAUACAGCAUCAUCUCAGGCUAAAGUGAUCUUUGUUAAAGCAACCCAAACUGAAGCUUUACUGUACUUGAAAACAGGGCUGAAGCUGCCACUGCCUAGUUGGUUGGACACUUGUUAUACACUGUCAACCUUGGGGUCAAUACAGAGUGUGUGAAGCCUGGAAAUUUUUGUUGAAUCAGGUGAUCAGUGAGUUACUAUUAUUUGUUUUUUGGCUUUUUAUUGAUUUUAGAUAUUAUUGCUAUUAUUAGUAUUGUCAUUAUUAUUAUCGUCAGCUUAAUUCGGUUUUAUUUUUACUCGUGAAAGUUAUUUGCUAAGAAUUACUGAGACCAUUUUGACAUUAUUUUUCAUUUCUUUUCCAUUUUUAGGAUCUUAAAUUGCCUUGCUUCCACCUGAAACAGCAUUAGGUUUGUUCUAGUGUUAUUAUUAUUAUUUUUUUAUCAAUUUAUUUUCAUCUGUGUUUUUUCAAUAUUCAUUUUCUUCCCUGUACCUUUGGAGUGCAUCCUUAUAGCCAGUAAUUAUAAUCAUAUUCAUGUUUGCAGAGUGAUGUCCAUAUUUCCAAUGGACUUCCUGUUUUUUUUUCUCUCUCUCUCUCUCUUUUUUUCUUUCCACCAUAAAUAUAUAGAUAUAUUUUAUGCGCGUGGAGUGUUAAUACCGUUUGGAAUUUAAUGUGAUAAUUUUUAGAAAUGUGCCACUGUGCCGUUGUUCCUGUCCGAGCACAUCAUGUCCAUUUUAAAGAACAAUAGAUUAUGGUUGGUUGGUUAGUAUAUUUAUUUAUAUUAUUGUCCAAAAAAAGAGAAGAAUUUGUAUGUUGUUAUUAUAUCCAUUGUUGUUCUCAUUAGUGAGGAGAAAGGAGUGGCCAGAAGUUGCUACACAGGUUCAGUGGUCUCCCUCUCUCACAAGUGUUGCACAAAACAAAUUUACUUUAUGACAAAUGUUAUUUAUUGUUACAUGUGAUUGAAGCUUCUGGCAUUGUUGAGCAUAAUCGAGAAGUGGAUCAUUCCUCCCUGCCAUAACAGGAAUGCCCUAAGUGCAAAGGGCCAAACUAUGAGCAGCCAGUGCUUUAUCCUUCCAAACGUGCUAACCUAUCACACAGAUUUAUGCAUGUCCCAUUUGGUGCAGGAAAGCACUCAAGUCAGCCUACAAGGAAUCUACAAAGAAAGAACAAAGAAAAUGCAACUUAUUUUCAUUUAGAUCCAGGGAAAUACUGUACACUUUCUCAGUCAUGCAGAGUGAUGAAAUGUCUUCAGUACACAUACCAGCAGAAUUUCUCAUCAUGGUUACUUAAGUCUUAAAACACAGAUACAAAGUCAGAAUGCUGACACUGCUUUCACUUCAGGAAAAAUAUAAAUAUAGACCUAUAUAUAAACACAUCUGCAAGUUUCAUCAGUUGAAGUUGGUGGUAGAAAACUCCAUGAGCAGCAUCUUAGCUCACACUGAUGUUGCAUUAACCCAGUGAUGAAUGCCCACCAUACCAUACCAGGUACACAUGUCAGGGUCAGAUGGCCAGAGCCUCGUGCAGUCCCGUGCAGUCAAGAAACUCAAGUGUGAAUCUUUGGUGUAAAUCAAAGCUGAGCCUCACUUACCUCAACCAAGGCUGAUGGUCUUCAAUGACUUCACAGAGGAACGUGCAUGCCAAAUAUUGUUCAGGUGGUGGGGAGCUUCAACUAACCCAGCUCUUAGGGACCACUUAGGCAACAGCUGACAGAGAUCGCCUCGAAGCACUUGGGUGUUUACGUAAUAACCCUGACUGUCCCUGGCUCAACCUAGAGCUGGUGGUUAGUUAGUGUUGCAAGAUCGAAGUGGUUCAGAAAAUGGGUUAGCAUUUAUAAAAUAGAUAAAGUAGAUAUAUUUGUCCAGGGUCAUCAGAUUAGUUUGGUUUCUCUAUUUUGAAAAAAGUUGAUGUAGUACUUACACAUUUGGUGAGAAAUUGACCAAGAAAUUCAUGGCAUUCAUGUUGAUGAUUGCCAGUUAUUUUGAUAGUUGUUUGAAUAAUUUCUAGUUUUAUCUUAUAGUUUGAGCUUUUCAUUUGUCCAAAAAGAAGGAAGGAAAUGUUAAAAGGUUAGAUAGAACCACAGAUUUCAAGACUAUCCAAUGACAAGAGUGAAGUAUGAAGAGCUUUUUUGAUCAUGAGCUAAAAAGAAAAUGUAAAUAGGAUCAAAUCAGCAUUGGGCCAAUUAGUAUCGUAUUAGAGAAACUCAUAUUUUUUCUAUUGAGAUACCUAUUUUUGGUCUUCCAACUUUUUAUUUCUGAAAGGGUCUGCAUGUGAAGGUUUUGUGUCGUGAUGUGAGGUUGAAGUUCAAAGUGAAGUGCUUUGUCCACAAGGAGUUUUAGACGAAGUCAGUCUCUCUUAUUUAUCAAGCUAGCGUGUGAUGAUUAUCUUGCAUAAAGAAAGGGGAGGAAGAUGCUUCUUCUUUCCUACUUUUGAAAGUUUUGCUUUCGUUUGGAAGGCGUUUUGCUUAUGAUGUACUGGUACUUAUUUUCUUACAGGGGUUCUGGCAUGGUCAUUAAUAAGUGCCAGAUAUGUAUUUAUUAGUGCUCACGUAACAUGAUUUUAUUUUAUUUUAUUUGCACAGUGUGCCAUGUUAUUGUUUUUAACUGCAUAAUUGAUUAAAGGCACAACAUCAGAGAUAUGUUAAAUGUUAGAGGAAUAUUUAUAUAUACAAAUAUAUAUAUAAAAGAUGACAAUCGUAAAAGAUCAGUUGGAUAUAAUUUAAGAGAAGGAAUUUCAAAAGCUCUUUGUGUUGCAGACCCUUCUAACAAUAGGUCGAAGUACCCUUGAGGGACUCGAGCCUGUUGCCAGUCAUAGCUGUAACUUCAUGCUCAGUGUGCCAAUAGAGGAUUCUGUUGGCCCCAUGCUAGCAGGAGUGCUCAAGGGUAGUGUUCUAAAGGUUGUUUGCAUCAAGCUAUUUUGCUCCUGGAGGAGGAGGCCCAGACGAUGAAGUAUGUAGUCAGAUUUGGUAAUUUCUUUGGCAAUGUGAGUGCGAACAAAGGACAGUUUGUUAGUGUGAGUGCGCGAUUGUGAAUGCAUGCAUGCCAGCCAUGUCUGUGAAAAUGUUUUGACUGUUCCAAAUUACAUUGCCCAAGCAAUUACUGGUACUAUUUUUUAUAUUUCACAGCCUGGUUUUAAAAAGUUGCUGUAAUUUUUUACGAAAUGGAGGAAAAUGCAAUAUUAUUUCAUUACUGAGAAACAUUGAUUAAACACAGCCAUUUAGCAUGUGUCUUGCUCAUGAAGGUUGCAUACUAAUGAAAAAAGUACUGUGUGGGGACAGCUGAUUAUCAUCACCCAAAAUUUACUCCUUUGCAGCCAACAAAUGAUGAAAUUACCCUAAACUACUUAUUUAUUUAUAUACAUUUUUUUUUUUCUUGUAUACAUAAUAUGGAUAUUGGCUUCCUCUUGAUUAGUUUAGCUUCAUUCUUCCAUUUGUGAUAACCAACAUUUCUAAUCUUCCAGUUUAUAAUAACCAGUAAUGAGAGCUUAAAGUCUUUAGAUCUGCUUUUUAAACCUUUUCCCAAAGAGGCCGUAUUAUAUAUGAUGUAGUAGGCCCAUUCUUUUAACAAGAAAAACAAAAGCAAAAAGAAACAAAAAAAAAAAAGUGCUGAUAUUGAAGUACCUUUACAUUUUGUAAGCAACCAUUUUAGUUUUAUUUAUUUUACUUGUUUUAUUCCACAAUAUAUUUGCCACCAGCCACCAUCAGGCAAUAACAAAUGCAAAUUGUUUGUGAUACAAGGCUCGGCUUCCAUGCAGUCCUUCGGCCAGGCAGGUCGAAGGUGGAAUGCAUUUGGGGCUGCUGUCCGGUACACAUGUAAGGUGCUUCAACUUCUGGAUAAUAAAGAAAUAUCUGGCUUCACGUGUAGGUCAGUGAAGUGACCUAUAUUUGGCUUUAUGUAUAAAUUUGUGAAUGGCUUGAUUGUACAGAGUUGGAGAUGUGUAAAUAAUGGUCCUUAUUUCACACUGUGUAAAAAAUAGCAAAUAAAUUAAUACUGACCUUA
rnacentral:misc_RNA from 1 species